UACAGAGGGGGCAAGCGUUGUUCGGAAUUACUGGGCGUAAAGGGCGCGUAGGCGGCCUGCUAAGUCGAACGUGAAAUCCCUGGGCUCAACCCAGGAACUGCGUCCGAUACUGGUUGGCUUGAAUCCGGGAGAGGGAUGUGGAAUUCCAGCUGUAGCGGUGAAAUGCGUAGAUAUCUGGAGGAACACCGGUGGCGAAGGCGACAUCCUGGACCGGUAUUGACGCUGAGGCGCGAAAGCCAGGGGAGCAAACGGG
rnacentral:rRNA from 1 species